GAAUGUGGCAAGCAUCAGCUGUGGGAAAGGAAGGUUGGUUUUAGGUUCUUUUCACAGAACCAGGAAGGACUCGAUGCAGCGUGCAUUCCAGCAAUUCACUCCAACGAUACUGGAUUUGUACAAAAUGUACCUUCACUGCUGAAGCAGAUCAUUGGUUUUUGUCAGCGAGCCUCUGGCACCCUGGACACACAACAGAAAGAGGAACUCUGGUUUCCUCUUUUGGACCUAUUGAUGUCACCAGUAGAGCACUUACAGUCUUCAUCACCAGAUCAAGUAAUAAACAGUAUGAAGGCUCCAACAAACGAUGUCCUAGAAGGCAUGGCAGCUUACACACCCCUUACAGAUAUACUGCAAAGGAUCAUUCAAACCUUAUUAGAUGCAACAAAAAGCAGAACCAGGAUCUGCACUGGUCCCUGUGCACUCUGAGAGCAAACGUCACCAGAGGGCUUACUCCGGCCCACAAGCUCUGUGGAGUCUGCACACAGCAGUACAAUAAGCAUCGAGCUGGGGCAGAGAUCACUGUUUCUAGCUUUCUAUUUUAACAGAAGUUACGAGGCAAAACUCAGAUGGCUUCACAUUAGGAGGUCGGACUGAUCUCUUCCAGCAAGGAGAUUUUCAUCUGAACCUCGCUCCACCUCCUUUAGUAGACUCAACAUGAGGGAACUUUUGUGGUUGUGCUCUUUGGUUCAUAUCUGCAAACAAAUUUUUUUCUGUGAAACCAAAGUGUGCUCGGUUGCUAUUAGUAGCUUAUUCUUAGUGGUGGAAUUCCACGAAGCUAGGAUAUAUGUAAGCAAUACUUCUUGGAAUACCCAGUAAAAAGCAAAAAUAAACUCACUCCUUUUGAUUAAUUAAUUUGUUAUACAUUAUCUCACAAAUAUUUGAACUUGAAUUUGAUUAUACAGUACUGUGAAGCUGUUUGUGUUUGCUGUUGCUUCAGCAUUUCAGCCACUGUCCUGUUCUUGAUUUGAACUGUUUUACCUAGGUGCUUGGGGUUAACACCACAGUAACACCACAGUAUACAUGAAUGCUCACUUGUGCACAGGCUGUUUCAAGAGUUUAAAUAACAAGGCCUCAUAUUUUUAAGGUGAUUUAAAUCCCCCCCCACCCCCCCCACCCCUCCCCGGUAGUGUAAAUAUAUUUACAGACAGAAAUAUACUUAAGACUCUAAGACUCUGAUGCAGGAUUAGAUGUUUGAUUGUAUUAACCUUUGAUCCAAACAGUGGUGGUAUUUAGACUGUUUAGCUCAAUUGAUUAGGCCCCUGCAUCUGCUAUAUUCCCAACAUUUAACACUAAAUAACAUAAGGAAUCAAUUUCAUGUUGUUGCUGUAAAUCAGUUUUACUUGUGUUGGCAUACUCAUAUUAGCUAUAUUUUAAAGUGCCUGUGUGUCAACACUAUGUACAGUAUUAAAAAAAAAAGCUUUGGAGAAUAUCAUUACUUGGUAGAUCCAGGGUAAUAAAUGUUAUUCAAAAUUAGAUUAUUUAGUAUUAACCAACUGGAAGCAGCCACGCCCAAAUAUUAUAUAUAAAAUAUGUUUUAUGUAUUGUACCUACAAUAAACACAAUGCAAUAAUUUAGCAUUCUUUUCUUCCAGUUUUUUAAUGCUGUGAGUACAGGUCAAUGAGCGUCUGAGAGAACACAGAAAACUCAGAAUAGUCGACCCUCUGAAUGUCAGUUUAACUAAGUUAACUGCUUUUAGUCAAACUCGCUCUUAAAUGUAAUUAUUUUCUGUAUUCUUUACUUUGCUCUUAUUUGAAUUUGACCUUAUUUUCUACUGAUUUUAUUGUACCUUAUAACUGCUCUUAACUAAAUGUGAUAUUCUGUGAUGUGAUUUGCUCAACUGUUUAAAUAAAACUCCAUCCCUCUGAGUUAUUACUAAAGUGUAAAUAAACAUAGUUUUUUUUUUUUAUAAAAGAAAAAUUAAUAAAUGCAUUUCAUUGAUACUAACUGGUGGUUAUUAAUUAUGUGGUACUAUCUUAUAAAACAAGAUUUAUUAUUAUUUUUUUUAAUAAAAAAUAUUCCAUACUUAAGUGUUGGCCUAUGCUUCUGUGUGCGAUCACAUUGACAGAUAGUUGAUUGAUUAUAGAUGGUCCUGGAGCCAAUCCGUGCCAAUGUAAAAUUUAGCAAAACAGGUUAAGAAAUAAAUACUGUGAAAGCAGGUGUGUGACUGGAGGAAGGUCUUGGGACGGGCGAAGGUUUGGAAACCAUCUGGCUUGCCUCACUCUGUGAAUCCUGAUUUAUCAACUAAACAAUGGCAUGGAAUUGUAAAUUGCGAUUGUAAAAUAGAUACAUGACAUGACCAUCUUACAACUUUAUACAGAGAGUUUCAAUUUCAGUUACUAUAUUGUCAUGCAUGUAAGCACAAGUGUCUCUAUUUUCACGAUAGAAAAAAAAUGCUCAUGCAAUUAUGUUAUUUCUGUUUCAUGUUUUUACAAGUAAAUAUAAUAACAUUUUUUUUUUUUAAGUUACUUUAUUGUCCUUCUGUUUAUAUAAUCUAGUUACCCAUGAAAAAUAUUUCCAUAUCCAAAAAAAAAAAAAUCUACAGAAGAAGUACAUUAAACCUCAUGUAUAACAAUGCAUUGGCCCUUAUUUACAGUCUAUACAUAUGUACUCUUAGUUUACCCCUGAUAAAGUCCUCUUUGUAACACCAUUUAUUUUCUUUGCCUUUGAGGUAAUAUUAAAAGUAUUUGCUUAUACAAGUCCAUUAAGAGCACAUAGUAAGUACGAUAAAUGGUUAAGAACAAUUUCAACUAAAAGCAGUUACCAAAAACGUGAAUAUGGAUAUCUGUAAGAGUAAAAGCAAGUACAAGAUACAGUGAAUAGUUAUAAUUAAGAGCAGUAGUAUAUGGCAAGGUAUGGAGCAGUUCAGUACAAGUACAAGCUGAUGCAAGUACUGGUACAAUUGGGUGCCAUAUAGUCCAGUAUGUUCGAGAGUUGUGGUGUUUACAGAUGCUAUCUGAAUAGGUGUCUUGAGGAGGUGUCGGAGGGUGGUCAGGGACUGAGCAGUCCUGAUGUCCGUGGGUAGGUCGUUCCAGCACUGAGGGGCAAGGGUGGAGAAGGAGCGGGCUCUGGAAGCGGAGGAGCGGAGGGGGGGUACAGCUAAUCUGCCGGUGGCGGAAGAGCAAAGGGAGCGAGAGAGGGUGUAGGGAAAAUAAUAGUCUGGAGAUAGGAGGGAGCAGAAAGGUCGAGAUAUUCAGAGCAAGGUGAAUAAGGCAUAGAAACUGAGAAAGGUCUUUGUCAAGUAUUACCUGAUACCAUGUUUGAAAAAUGUAAAAUGUAAAAAUACAUGUGUGUUAUAAUGGUAACACUUUUAGUGUCUGUUCAUGAUUAUUUCAUCUGUAUUAAGGGAAAUGUUAUGAAGUCAUGAAAAGUAUGUCAUGAACUUAUGCUUGUGACUUUUGAAUUCAAUAGUAAUUUCAUUUGAAAUCAGUAGGAAAUCCUGUGUUAGUUACAGUGGAAUUACAGCCACUUAUUUUAAACUGUUACCGUUAUCACAUGUAUUUCUUUCAAAACUUCUCAAGCAUAUGGAUGUGCAAAACAGGCAAGAUUUAUGGCUCCUAAAUGAAAUGUUUAAAUUGUUUAUUUCCAGUCUGGUCACUAACAUUUAAUUUCUGAAAAUCUUGUAGCUUAGACUAUUUCCUUACACUAUUUCCCUUAUAAAAGUUUACCAUGUUAUUUUUGCACAUUCUUACCAUGCCUUUCCCAUGGUUAUACUAGCAUUUGCCAUAGUUUACACUAGUUUGUUUUGUUUAUUAACAUGCUUCACCAUACCACGCUUUUCUUUACAAUGCUUAACUAUACAGUGCUUUCACUAUGCUUUAUUACACUUUGUUGUGCUUUUACAAUGGGAAACUUUUGGAAGGGUUGUAACACAAGUUUAUAUAAAAUACCUUAAAUAAUAGCUCAAACUUUAUUUUAGCAGCGGAGCAACUGCGAUAUAUAAUCAGAACUUGAUCAACUGAAAACAAGUGACAUGUAGAAAGAGUGGCAUAGAGAAUAUACAUUUACACCAUUGUAAAUGAAAAACAAACAUGUUACAGAAAAGCAAAAAAUAAGUAAGGUGCUUGUGCGAGCUCAUA